rnacentral:lncRNA from 1 species
UCAGUUUCCUAUUUGCUAUCUCCACGGCACAAGCCCUAUAGAUAACUUCCCCUAGUAGUGUUUCACCCCCGGCAGUAGAUACAAACAACAAUGAAUCAAGUUUAUCAGGUGAUACAUUAAUUUUGGAAGCAAAAGCAUGUGAAACAAAAGAGUGCGAUGCGCCAGUGUCAAAUAAAACAUGAGCAAUAUGGUCACAGAUAGUAUACAUACCAUGUACUACAUCCGGGUCGGCGUCGGCAUCCUGCUGGGUAAGGUUGUAAGCUUUGCCCUAGAUAGGAGGCCUCCCUUGAUUCUGGUUCCUUGGGCAUUCUCUUGCAUAAUGCUGGGCACUGCCAUAAAUGCGACAAGUGUUGUUGAGGCAGUAGCAGGGUCGGU